rnacentral:lncRNA from 1 species
GAGGGUAAUAUGUAGACAGGCCUUACCCCUACCCGAAAGGGCAGAGAGGCUGUUUCCAAUCGACCCUCGGCUCACUGAAGGAAAGGAACAACAAAAACAAAAACAACAACAAAAGAACAUUAGUAGCUACAGCAGAAAUAGCAUAAAUAAUUAUCUAAACAUAAGAACCAUAAAUAAAAUAGCAUGCAAUGAUACCAGACAGUAACUACAAUAAAUAGCAUGCAAUAAUAAGGGAGACAUAAUCCAAUACACAUAUCAGAUAGCCCUGCCAAGCCUUACCCAACCCCGGGUGAGGAGAACGAAAAACUCUAGGGGCCCCUAUCCUACAACCCUGAUACUAGACCUCCAGACUUUCCUAUCAAGGGUCAUGUCCUCAGAAAUCCGCAUUCUAGCCAUGUCAUGCCUAAUCACC